rfam:Felis catus isolate Cinnamon breed Abyssinian chromosome C2, whole genome shotgun sequence.
GCCUGGGUGGCUCAGUUAGUUGAGCAGCUGACUUUGGCUCAGGUCAUGAACUUACGGUCUGUGGGUUCGAGCCCCGCGUCGGGCU